CCUACCGGCCCAGGAGCAGUGUUAAGUGCGCCCCCCCAACGCCGCGCACCGCGCAGCCCCGUCCGCCCGCAACUGAGCGCCGGGGACCGGCGGCCUUCACUUUCCGGGCCGGCCGGCUCCGCCCAGCCAGGGUUUCAGGGACUCUUCACAUGGUCUCUCCCUCAAGAUAGUUGGACUUCUUACAUGGUACCUCAGGACUCCCAAGAAUGAGCGUUCAAAGAGUCUUGGGCCAAAGCUACAAGCCUUCUUUCAUCUAGCCUUAGAAGUCUUAGAAUGUUAGUUCAGCCACCUUCUAUUCACCAAGCUAAUCACUAAGGCCAACCCAGACUCAAAGGAAAGGUCAGAAGUGAUGGUGCAGCCAUAAAGAUGGAGAAUUUUCAACCUAAAAAAAGGAAAAGACAAGACCCCAGAUUAUGUGGAGUGAAUAAGUGGAGCCUAUAUCCUAAGCAUGGUGUGGAAGCAGCAGCUGCCGCCCUGAGAGACCAGACACCUUAUCUGAGGACUCCACGCACCCCUGCUUGAUGAGCCUUCAUGUUACAGAAAGCAAACCUCAUCCAGCCCUAUCCUGUGAGUCUGCAGUGCCUUCGCACAAUGCCAUCUG